rnacentral:rRNA from 1 species
UACGGAGGGUGCAAGCGUUGUUCGGAUUUAUUGGGCGUAAAGCGCGUGUAGGCGGUUUCUUAAGUCUGAUGUGAAAGCCCUGGGCUCAACCCAGGAAGUGCAUUGGAUACUGGGAGACUUGAAUACGGGAGAGGGUAGUGGAAUUCCUAGUGUAGGAGUGAAAUCCGUAGAUAUUUAGGAGGAACACCGGUGGCGAAGGCGGCUACCUGGACCGAUAUUGACGCUGAGACGCGAAAAGCGUGGGGGAGCAAACAGG